AUGUUGGUUUGGAAUGUUGUACGGGGGUUGAACAAUCCUGCUCGGCGUAGCUCUGUUCGCUUGUUUAUGCAGACUUGUGAUGUUUCGUUGGUGUGUUUCCAAGAAUCUAAGUUGAAUAUGGUGGAUACUGUGGUGGUCUCCCAGACUUUGGGUCCUAGUUUUGAUGGGUUUGAUGCCUUACCGGCGGAUAGCACUAGAGGGGGAACCUUGAUCGCCUGGAAAACAGACAGAUUGCAGCUUUCAAAUGUUGUGAAGAAAGAGUUCUCUGUAUCUGCUACAGUAACCUCGUUGCUGGAUGGUAAGGUUUGGAUGGUAACUACUGUCUAUGGGCCUCAAACAGAGCAGGACAAGAAGAGAUUUCUUGAGGAACUGGAAGGCAUUGGUGAAUAG
rnacentral:rRNA from 1 species